GCUGGGCGCGGUGGCUCACGCCUGUAAUCCCAGCACUUUGGGAGGCUGAGAUGGGCGGAUCACCUGAGGUCAGGAGUUGGAGACCAGCCUGGCCAACAUGGUGAAACCCCGUCUCUA
rnacentral:SRP_RNA from 2 species